rnacentral:rRNA from 1 species
CAAUGGGCGGCAAGCCUGAACGAGCGAUGCCGCGUGAGUGAAGAAGGCCUUCGGGUCGUAAAGCUCUGUUGCGGGGGAAAAAAGGCAGCAUCAGGAAAUGGGUGCUGACUGAUGGUGCCCCGCCAGAAAGUCACGGCUAACUACGUGCC